rnacentral:rRNA from 1 species
CAGCCGCCGCGGUAAUACGUAGGGUGCGAGCGUUAAUCGGAUUUACUGGGCGUAAAGCGUGCGCAGGCGGCCCGUUAAGACAGGUGUGAAAUCCCUGGGCUCAACCUAGGAAUUGCGCUUGUGACUGGCGGGCUCGAGUACGGUAGAGGGGGGUGGAAUUCCUGGUGUAGCAGUGAAAUGCGUAGAGAUCAGGAGGAACACCGAUGGCGAGGGCAGCCCCCUGGGCCUGUACUGACGCUCAUGCACGAAAGCGUGGGGAGCAAACAGGAUUAGAUACCCUGGUAGUCCACGCCCUAAACGAUGGGUGCUAGCCGUUUGGUGCGCGAUAGCGCUGAGUGGCGAAGCUAACGCGUGAAGUACCCCGCCUGGGGAGUACGGCCGCAAGGUUGAAACUUAAAGGAAUUGGCGGG